GACGGGUUAGCUCAGUUGGUAGAGCGCAACCUUGCCAAGGUUGAGGUCGCGGGUCCGAGUCCCGUUUUCCGCUCA
rnacentral:tRNA from 1 species